GUCCUGGCCAUAAACGAUGAACACUAGGUGUCGGAGGCUUCGACCCCUUCGGCGCCGCCGCUAACGCAUUAAGUGUUCCGCCUGGGGAGUACGGCCGCAAGGUUAAAACUCAAAGGAAUUGACGGGGGCCCGCACAAGCAGUGGAGCAUGUGGUUUAAUUCGAUGCUACGCGAAAAACCUUACCAGGGUUUGACAUCCCAGUGUAAGCCCCUAGAAAUAGGGGCCCCCUUCGGGCACUGGUGACAGGUGGUGCAUGGUUGUCGU
rnacentral:rRNA from 1 species